rnacentral:tRNA from 1 species
GUGAUUGACUUCCUAUGAAUAGGGUAAGUAUCAGCCUUCCAAGCUGAUAGCGUGGGUUCGAUUCCCAUCACCC